rnacentral:rRNA from 1 species
ACUCCUACGGGAGGCAGCAGUGGGGAAUAUUGGACAAUGGGGCAACCCGUGAUCCAGCCAUGCCGCGUGAGUGAUGAAGGCCUUAGGGUUGUAAAGCUCUUUCAGCGAGGAGGAUAAUGACGUUACUCGCAGAAGAAGCCCCGCGUACAUUCGUGCCAGCAGCCGCGGUAAUACGAAGGGGCGGUAGCGUUGUUCGGAAUCACUGGGCGUAAAGCGCACGUAGGCGGAUUGAUAAGUUAGGGUGAAAUCCCGGGCUCGAACCUCGGAACGACCUUUGCAUUACUGUCAGUCUUGAUGUCCGAGAGAGGUGAGUGGAACUCCGAGUGUAGAGGUGAAAUUCGUAGAUAUUCGAAGAACACCAGUGGCGAAGGCGGCUCACUGGCUCGGUACUGACGCUGAGGUGCGAAAGCGUGGGA